rnacentral:tRNA from 1 species
UCCGGAGUAGCUCAGUUGGUAGAGCGAGUGGCUGUUAACCACCAGGUCGGGGGUUCGAGUCCCUCCUCCGGAGCCA